rnacentral:rRNA from 1 species
CUACGGGGUGCUGCAGUGGGGAAUAUUGGACAAUGGGGGAAACCCUGAUCCAGCAAUGCCGCGUGUGUGAAGAAGGCCUGCGGGUUGUAAAGCACUUUCGGUUGGGAGGACUGCUUCUAGCACUAAUAUUGUUGGAAGUUGACGUUACCUUCAGAAGAAGCACCGGCUAACUCCGUGCCAGCAGCCGCGGUAAUACGGAGGGUGCAAGGCGUAAUCGGAAUUACUGGGCGUAAAGCGCGCGUAGGCGGCUAGAUCAGUCGGGUGUGAAAGCCCCGGGCUUAACCUGGGAACUGCAUCCGAUACUGUCUAGCUUGAGUACAGGAGAGGAGAGUGGAAUUCCACAUGUAGCGGUGAAAUGCGUAGAUAUGUGGAGGAACACCAAUGGCGAAGGCAGCUCUCUGGCCUGAUACUGACGCUGAGGUGCGAAAGCGUGGGGAGCAAACAGGAUUAGAUACCCCGGUAGUC